rnacentral:misc_RNA from 1 species
UUUGGCAACCUGGACGUUUCCAUGUGGAUCUCUUUCCAGCAUCAAUUGUUCCCGAAUUGCUAGCGGCAGAAAUUCGAAAAGCUGCAAAGAUUGACUUGUAAGUUUCUUUUUCCAUAGCCCACCUUCAUCGACAACAUCACGGGCCAAAAUUUCAUUCAGUUCUGCAAUGAGAUGCUGCACCUCAGGAAUGAAAUCAAUUAAACCUUCAGGUAUAAGGAUCACACCAUAGUUAUAACCCAGAUCAGCACGUUUACAGAUUAUAUCUACAAUGUAGUCAGUAACAUUUUUCAGUGUCAGCUUCUUUGCAGCAACCUCUUCUCCAAUGAUUGUAAUAUUUGGAUGAGUUUGCAAAGCACACUCUAAGGUAAUGUGUGAAGCUGCACGCCCCAUAAGCCGUACAAAGUGAUAAUAUUUUCCAGUUGAUCGAGCAUCAAUCAUGACAUUUCCAAUCAUUUCUGAAUAUAUCUUGCAUGCAGUAUCAAAUCCAAAACUGGUUGGGACCUCUUUGC